ACAUGCCUACAACAUAGCACCAAUUCACUGGAUUCCAUUAGAACUCCACAGUUAAGUGCACUCAGGAUAGAGUAGUAUUGGGAUGGGUGACCGCCUGGGAAGUCCUAGUUUUUUACAUGCC
rnacentral:rRNA from 1 species